rnacentral:lncRNA from 1 species
UCUUAAUCAAAUCCUAGAUUAAAUCCUAAUUAAAAUUCUAAUUAAAUUUUAAUCAAAUAAUAGAUGUAAUUUUAAUAAAUUCCUAAUUAAAUAUUAAUUAAAUCCUAAGUCAAAUUUUAAUAAAUUCCUAGACAAACCCUAGUCAAGUUCUAAAUCAAAUCUUAAUCCUAACCAAAUCAUAGACAAAUCCUAAACCAAAUCCUAAUCAAAUCCUAGAUCUUAAAUAAACUCUUAAUAAUUUUAUGGUAAAAUAGAACCUCAACAACUAAUAAUUGAAAAAUUGAUAUCAACUCAAAAUUUACAUACUUCUUAAUAUUUUAGUU